AGCAGCCGCGGUAAUUCCAGCUCCAAUAGCGUAUAUUAAAGUUGUUGCAGUUAAAAGCUCGUAGUUGAAUUUCGGGAUUGGCGCAUCGGUCGUGCCUCACGGGGUAUGAACUGGUGCAGUCAAUUUCUCACCUUCUGGAGAACCGCGAUGUCCUUAAUUGGAUGCCGCGGGGAACCAGGACCUUUACUUUGAAAAAUUAGAGUGUUUAAAGCAGGCAUUUUUGCUUGAAUACAUUAGCAUGGAAUAAUAAAUAGGACGGCAUGGUUCUAUUUUGUUGGUUUCUAGGACCACCGUAAUGAUUAAUAGGGAUAGUUGGGGGCAUUAGUAUUCAAUUGUCAGAGGUGAAAUUCUUGGAUUUAUUGAAGACUAACUACUGCGAAAGCAUUUGCCAAGGAUGUUUUCAUUAAUCAAGAACGAAAGUUAGGGGAUCGAAGACGAUCAGAUACCGUCGUAGUCUUAACCAUAAACUAUGCCGACUAGGAAUCAGACGAUGUUAAUUUUUUAAUGACUCGUUUGGCAC
rnacentral:rRNA from 1 species